GCGUUCUCAUUGUUUGUAUGUACUCGCUGCCUCGCCGGGGAAGCACGACAACGGUCCCCCGUGCAUGCAUGCGCCCAAGUUAUCUCUUGCAAGGGUCAAUCGGUCAUAACUAACCAGCACCCGUAUCCAUAAGCAAUUAAUCCUAACUUGUGCAGUUGGGCUUGGGCUGUGAUCAUGUAGGGCUGACAGGGUCCACCCGACCAGUCGUCUGACGUUAGUCUUUGACGCAGUCACGAAACAUGUUGGUUUCCACUGUAGAUCAUCAAUCUAGGAUUAGUCGUAGUUGGCUUCCGAUUACAUACACCCAAAAACCCAAAACUUUACAAGAUUCUCCGUCACAUCGAAAUUUACGGCACAUGCAUGAAGUAUGAAAUAUAGAUAAAAAGAAUAACUAAUUGCACAGUUUAUCGGUAAAUCACGAGACGAAUUUUUUAAGCCUAGUUACUCCAUAAUUAGACAAUGUUUGUCAAAUAAAAACGAAAAUAUUACAGUGUCAGAAUUUCAAAACUUUUUGCAUCUAAACAAGGCCUCAUUGUCACCAUCAGCCUGACUAUUUUGCCUGACUAUUUUUUGUUACGAUUUUGUUGGAGUUUCUUUACCGUCAAAUAUGAAAUAUGCACAUGCGAAAACAGCUUUUGAAGCCAAAACUAAGCAAUGGUUGUUGUUGUUCUUGGGGUGUGUGUGGUGGUGGUGGGGGGGGGGGGAGUAAUGGUUGCUUAUGGCUAAACUAAAGUGUUUUUACUGUGUUUUAUUUAAUAGCGAGUCUCUGGUCAAAGUUCGUUUGUGGUUAGAUGGUCGUGGGACCCCCCGGAGAAACUUGAUUCCAUCUGUUGUCCAGCUACAACGACGGACCAAUUUGCAGCAUUUGCUAUCGAAGGUAGUCCGUUCGCUUUUCCAUGACCCUGACGUGCCACACUAGCUUCUUUGUAUCCAUUGUUAGUUUUCGUGACCAGAGUACACCGUAGACUGCAUGCGGGGCAUCGCAAUCUACAUCAAUCUACAUCAACGACGGGCAUUGCAAAAUUUUUCAGAUUCCCCGUCACAUCGAAUCUUUAGACACAUGCAUGAUGUAUUAAAUAUAGAUAAAAAUAAAAACUAAUUACACAGUUUGAUCGAAAUUGACGAGACGAAUCUUUUGAACCUAAUUAGUCUAUGAUUGGAUAAUAUUUGUCAAAUACAAACGAAAAAGCUACAGUGUCGAUUUUGCAAAAUAUUUUGGAACUAAACAAGGCCUAAUGAAAAGAAAAAGGAGCUGCCUAAAUCCGGACAUUGCGCUAACUGAAUGAGCCUGUUCGUUUAUUAUCUUAUAAGCCAGCCAAUAGUAUUUUUCUCUUUUUAGCUAUGACUUUUUAUACCAGGAAAUAGGUUCAUAAACCAUAUCUACUAAGGUAGGUAGGCAUUCUUGUGCCCUGGGAAAAACUGAUCAUCGACUUUUCAUCGACCUGGUCAACCCACGCGUGGAGUCCUUGGUGGCAACAUGUCAGCCAUUGCAGCAUCAGCACCGCGCCAUGGGAUUUGCGGACUUGUCGUGCACGUGCUCUUGUUUGGUGCUCCUGCCAAACUUCCACUAGCAAUGUGGCCUGUGGGUCUUUAUAAAAAAAAAAAGAAAAAAAUUUGCACUGUUGGUGGCGCACUGGAUUUGUUUAGAUUUUGGUUUUUUUUGGGGGACAAGAAGAUUUUGUUGGACACCACUGGUACUGCUAACGUGUUUGACUCCUCUUGUCAUGUAUCCGUGUGCGCGCACGCGCUCCACCGGAGACCCCGGACGCUCUUUUUUUGCUUGCGCGCGUUCCCUUCUCCGGUCCUGACGAGACCUUCCCAUCCGGCGUUACUGUCAUCCCCGCGGACGAGAGAGUAUCGUCAGCGUGAUGCAAGAGCAAGAACGUUUGUGGGAGACGACAAAAAGCUUGUACUUGGUUUUCUCACUGGAACGUGCGUUUCUCUGGAUACACCGUACGCGGACCGUGUUUAGAUGAGCUGACUUGACGACGUGGAACGGUUGGGGCUGCGGUCCCUCUAGUUUCGGCAUGGUUUUAGUUCAAAAAUUGAUUCUGCGUUACAUCAAAUCUUACAGCAUAUAUAUAUAAUAUUAAAUAUAAAUAAAAAAUAACUAAUUGUACACUUUGUAUGUAAUUUACGAGACGAAUUUUUUAAUCUAGUCUAUAAUUAAAUAAUAAUUUAUUAAAUAUAAACAUAAGUGUUAUCGUAGGCAAAACCAAAAGUUUUCACAGCCUUUGUCAAAACGACGUGGAACUCUAUAAUUAAAUAAUAAUUUAUUAAAUGCAAACAAAAGUGUUAUUAUAGGCAAAACCAACAAAUUUUCACAGCCUUUGUCAAAGCGACGUGGAACGGUUACUGCUGCUGUUGUCGUGCUGGAGCCAAGAAGAAGCAUCCUCUUAUCUGGGUCUAGUUGGGCCCAAAUGUGUAGGUGUCCUGGGCCAAGGGCAUACUACUGGAUUCAAUGUCCUGAGUUUUUAUCCCCCUCGAAUACGCACAAGCAAUGCGUGUCUUUGUAUGGUAGGAAUUGAGUUGAUCAUUCAA
rnacentral:lncRNA from 1 species